AUGCUCGUUUCGGCAGCAGCACAUAUACUAAACUUAGAAUGAUAUGGAGAUUAGUAUGGCCCCUGCGCAAGGAUGACAAGCAAAUCCGUGAAGUGUUCUGUAUUUUU
ensembl:snRNA U6 U6 spliceosomal RNA